rnacentral:rRNA from 1 species
GAUCAUGGCUCAGAUUGAACGCUGGCGGCAGGCCUAACACAUGCAAGUCGAACGGUAACAGGAAACAGCUUGCUGUUUCGCUGACGAGUGGCGGACGGGUGAGUAAUGUCUGGGAAACUGCCUGACGGAGGGGGAUAACUACUGGAAACGGUAGCUAAUACCGCAUAACGUCGCAAGACCAAAGAGGGGGGACCUUCGGGCCUCUUGCCAUCGGAUGUGCCCAGAUGGGAUUAGCUAGUAGUGGGG